CAGAGAUGGAUGAAGUUGCCUUGAUUGAUUUAUUUAUCUUUCCUCCUUUUUCAAUACAACAUGAAGCACAUAAAUCUCCUUUACUCAAAUAGUGGUGGCUGUAAGAGUGGAUCUGCUUAUACUGUUUUUCUGCUCAUUUUACUUCUUGCAUUGAGAUUUUUCAGCUGGGACUGCUGGGUUAUGUUCUUUCAUAUUUUAUUCUUCCAUUCGAGGUUUUGGAAUUUCGAUUUUGG
rnacentral:misc_RNA from 1 species